UUUAAAAUUUAAAUAAUUAUUUAUUUUAAUAAAUUUAUAUUUAUAAAAAUUAUAUGAAAUAUAUUAACUAAAUCUAGAAAGAUAAACGAGGCAUUCAAAUUUUAGACGCAUUCAAAUUUUAAAAUCAAAAUAUUAUUCUCAAAUCAAAUAAAUUUGAAAUGUUAGUUCGUAAGAUAUAGCCAAAUUAAAAUAAUUCAUAAUUCAGAUAAAUUCUGUGUAAUUUUAUCUUUUGGGGAUUACUAAAAACUAUGCAAAACUUUUAUAUUAUUCUUAUUCUUGUUGUUAUAUACUUUUUCAGGAACAUUUGUUAUAAAACUUUAUAGUAU
rnacentral:lncRNA from 1 species